GCUCUACCUGGGAAACUGAAAUAUAUUCAUUUCUCCCUAGUACAGUGUGCUGCUAGCUACCAACUAGUUAUCCUGCUACUAGCCGGCCCAUUUUUCCAUCAUGUCAAGUACAAAACUUCCCUCGUCCAGAAGGACUCCAGCUUUGGUGGAAGAGGAUGAAGUAGUUACAGAGGUUGACGCUGAUCACGUUGAAAAAUCACUGUCAGACCUCAAGCUGUUUGAUGAUCUGCCCUCCAGGAAAACGG